rnacentral:rRNA from 1 species
GACGAACGCUGGCGGCGUGCUUAACACAUGCAAGUCGAACGAAGUGGGAACGGGUGAGUAAUACGUGGGUAACCUCCCUCCUUUUUGGGAUAAGCCUUGGAAACGGGGUCUAAACCGAAUAGAUGGGCUCGCGGCCUAUCAUCUUGUUGGUGGGGUGAUGGCCUACCAAGGCGUUGACGGGUAGGCGGUGUGAGAGGAUGAGCGGCAACAUUGGGACUGGGACACGGCCCAGACUCCGACGGGAGGCAGCAGUGGGGAAUCUUCCGAAAUGGACGAAAGUCUGACGGAGCAACGCCGCGUGAGUGAUGACGGCCUUCGGGUUGAAAAGCUCUGUUAGUCGGGGCGCGGUACCGGAAUAGAAGGCCACGGCUAACUGCGUGCCAGCAGCCGCGGUAAUAC